GUUGAGGAGUGCUGUUACUGGACCAUUACACUCACCGCAUAGAGGUACUGAGGAUCAUGGUGCACUGUGCAGACCUCAGCAAUCCCACGAAGCCACUGGCCGUGUACCACCAGUGCACCGAACGUAUCAUGAAAAAAUUCUUCAGAUGGGGACAAGGAGCGCGAACGCGGCAUGGAGAUCAGUGCUAUGUGUGAUAGACACACCUCAUCUGUGGUGAAGAGUCAGGUUCUUCUCAUGUCUGAUCUUGGUGUGGUGUGGAACAGAACUUAACUUUUUGGGGACCCC